rnacentral:rRNA from 1 species
GACAGAGGGUGCAAACGUUGUUCGGAAUCAUUGGGCGUAAAGGGCGUGUAGGCGGCUUCGUAUGUCCCAUGUGAAAGCCCUCGGCUCAACCGAGGAACGGCAUGGGAAACUGCGGAGCUUGAGUCCGGGAGAGGAGAGUGGAAUUCCCAGUGUAGCGGUGAAAUGCGUAGAUAUUGGGAGGAGCACCGGUGGCGAAGGCGGCUCUCUGGACCGGUACUGACGCUGAGACGCGAAAGCCAGGGGAGCAAACGGG